rnacentral:lncRNA from 1 species
UUGAGGCCAGAAUUGAGACCAGCCUGGGCAAUAAGCAAGACCCUCAUCUCAGAAAAAAGAAAAAGAAGAAGAUAAAAGAGAAGGAGAAAGAAAAGAAGUAGUGUGGGAAGAGUGUGAAUUUCAGACUGAAAACAGUCCUGGGUUCAGAUCAUAAUCUGAAUGACUUAAGACAAGUUACUUAAACUGAGCCUCAGUUUUCUGAACCCUACCUUGAAAAGUUUGUGUGAGGAUUAAAUGACAUAAAAUACAAACAUGCACAGUGUACCCAGCAUGCAGGGGCUCAGCUCCAUUGUAUAAGCAGUCAACAAGUGUGAAUUCUCACCUGCCUGAAUCAGAAUUUUCUAUU